CUUCUCCUUUCCUUCCCUCCUUCUUUCUUUCCCUCUUUCUCUCUUCUCUCCUUCCACCUCUUUCUCUCCCCUUCCUUUCUUCUAUCCGUCCUUCUCCCUUCAUUACUUUUCCCUUCGUUCCUUCUUUCUUCCAUCCUCUCUCAUUCCCAUCCAUUCAUCCUUCUCCUUUCCUUCCCUCCUUCUUUCUUUCCCUCUUUCUCUCUUCUCUCCUUCCACCUCUCUCUCUCCCCCCUUCCCUUCUUCUAUCCAUCCACCCUUCUCCCUUCCUUUUCCCUUCCCUCCUUCCUUCUUCCUCCAUCUCUCUCCCUUCCCUCCUUCCCUUCUUUCCUUUCUUCUUCCCUUCGCCUCUCUCUCUUCCCCUUCCUUUCUUCCAUCCAUCCUUCUCCCUUCCUUCCCUCCUAACCCCUUCCUUCCCUUUUUUCUUCCUUCUUCCCUCCACCUCUAUCUCCCUUCCUUUCUUCCAUCCAUCCACCUUCCUUCCCUCCUUUUCCUUUCUUUCCUUCCCUCCUUCCUUUUUCCCUCCCUGCCUUUCCCUUCCUUUCCUCCAUCUAUCUAUUCUUCUCCCUUCCCUCCUUCAUUCUUUCCCGCUUUCCUUCCUUCCUUCCCUCCCUUUUCCUUCCUUUCUGCCAUCCAUCCAUCCAUCUCCCUUCCCUCGUUUUCUCCUCUUUCCUUACUUCCACCUCUCUCUCUUCCUCCCUCCGGCCCUGCCCGUCCGUUAUCCCUGCCCUGCCGCCCGUUAUCCUGGCCGCUUCCCGUUCCCUCCGGGCAGGGCGCCGACAUCAUGGCAACCCGCCUGGGAUUGCUGCCUCUUUUCCUCCAGCGCCAUUUUGCCCAUUGGGCCCCUCCUGGUGUGUGUCUCCCCCCCCCUUCCCCCAUCAGCCUCCGAGGAGGCCGGGUCCAGGGAGGGAGGGAGGCUGGGCUGGGCUGGGGCCCUCCUGGCUGAGAGGUGGGUGAGAAAGAGGAGGAGGGCGCCAGCUACUCCCAAGUAGACCCAGGCAGGCUCGAGCUGCUGCUUCCUCCCUCGCCCUGCUCUUUUGUUUAUAGCCCGGUGGUGCUUUUCCGGCUCCUCCUCCUCCUCCUCCUCCUCCUCUUCCAGCCGUGAAAUCUCGGCUGCAGGUUUC
rnacentral:lncRNA from 1 species